rnacentral:rRNA from 1 species
CGGCGGACGGGUGAGUAACACGUGGAUAACCUACCUAUAAGACUGGGAUAACUUCGGGAAACCGGAGCUAAUACCGGAUAAUAUAUUGAACCGUAUGGUUCAAUAGUGAAAGACGGUUUUGCUGUCACUUAUAGAUGGAUCCGCGCCGCAUUAGCUAGUUGGUAAGGUAACGGCUUACCAAGGCAACGAUGCGUAGCCGACCUGAGAGGGUGAUCGGCCACACUGGAACUGAGGCACGGUCCAG